CCUACGGGAGGCAGCAGUAGGGAAUAUUGCUCAAUGGGGGAAACCCUGAAGCAGCAACGCCGCGUGGAGGAUGAAGGUUUUCGGAUUGUAAACUCCUUUUGUUAGAGAAGAUAAUGACGGUAUCUAACGAAUAAGCACCGGCUAACUCCGUGCCAGCAGCCGCGGUAAUACGGAGGGUGCAAGCGUUACUCGGAAUCACUGGGCGUAAAGAGCGCGUAGGCGGGAUAGCAAGUCAGAUGUGAAAUCCUAGGGCUUAACCAUAGAACUGCAUUUGAAAAUGUUAUUCUAGAGUAUGGGAGAGGUAUGUGGAAUUCUUGGUGUAGGGGUAAAAUCCGUAGAGAUCAAGAGGAAUACUCAUUGCGAAGGCGACCUGCUAGAACAUAACUGACGCUGAUGCGCGAAAGCGUGGGGAGCAAACAGGAUUAGAUACCCCAGUAGUC
rnacentral:rRNA from 1 species